AGCGAACGCUGGCGGCAGGCUUAACACAUGCAAGUCGAACGCAUCCUUCGGGGUAAGUGGCAGACGGGUGAGUAACACGUGGGAACGUACCUUUUUGUUCGGAAUAACUCAGGGAAACUUGAGCUAAUACCGGAUACGCCCUUAGGGGGAAAGAUUUAUCGCAGAAAGAUCGGCCCGCGUCUGAUUAGCUAGUUGGUGAGGUAAGGGCUCACCAAGGCGACGAUCAGUAGCUGGUCUGAGAGGAUGAUCAGCCACACUGGGACUGAGACACGGCCCAGACUCCUACGGGAGGCAGCAGUGGGGAAUAUUGGACAAUGGGCGCAAGCCUGAUCCAGCCAUGCCGCGUGAGUGAUGAAGGCCCUAGGGUUGUAAAGCUCUUUCGGCGGGGACGAUAAUGACGGUACCCGCAGAAGAAGCCCCGGCUAACUUCGUGCCAGCCGCCGCAGUAAUAC
rnacentral:rRNA from 1 species